GACGAACGCUGGCGGCGUGCUUAACACAUGCAAGUCGAACGACGUGGCGAACGGGUGAGUAAUACGUGGGUAACCUGCCCUCCUUUUUGGGAUAAGCCUUGGAAACGGGGUCUAAUACCGAAUAAAGGGGGAUGGGCUCGCGGCCUAUCAGCUUGUUGGUGGGGUGAUGGCCUACCAAGGCGGUGACGGGUAGCCGGCCUGAGAGGGAGACCGGCCACAGUGGCACUGUGAUACGGCCCAGGCGCCGACGCGGGGGAGCAGUGGGGGAUAGUGCAGAAUGGGCGAAAGCCUGAUGCAGCGACGCCGCGUGGGGGAUGAAGGCUUUCGGGUAGUAAACCUCUUGCGCUAUCGAUCGGGUAGGUGGAGAAGAAGCGCCGGCUAACUACGUGCCAGCAGCCGCGGUAAUAC
rnacentral:rRNA from 1 species